rnacentral:rRNA from 1 species
UACGAAGGUGGCAAGCGUUGUUCGGAUUCACUGGGCGUACAGGGUGUGUAGGCGGUUUGGUAAGCCUUCUGUUAAAGCUUCGGGCCCAACCCGGAAAGCGCAGAGGGUACUGCCAGGCUAGAGGACGGGAGAGGAGCGCGGAAUUCCCGGUGUAGCGGUGAAAUGCGUAGAGAUCGGGAGGAAGGCCGGUGGCGAAGGCGGCGCUCUGGAACGUUACUGACUCUGAGACACGAAAUCGUGGGGAGCAAACAGG